rnacentral:rRNA from 1 species
UACGAAGGGGGCUAGCGUUGCUCGGAUUGACUGGGCGUAAAGGGCGCGUAGGCGGAUAGUACAGUCAGGCGUGAAAUUCCUGGGCUCAACCUGGGGGCUGCGUUUGAUACGUGUUGUCUGGAGUUCGGAAGAGGGUCGUGGAAUUCCCAGUGUAGAGGUGAAAUUCGUAGAUAUUGGGAAGAACACCGGUGGCGAAGGCGGCGACCUGGUCCGAUACUGACGCUGAGGCGCGAAAGCGUGGGGAUCAAACAGG